AUGGAGAGUUUGAUUCUGGCUCAGAACGAACGCUGGCGGCGUGGAUAAGACAUGCAAGUCGAACGAGAGAAUUGCUAGCUUGCUAAUAAUUCUCUAGUGGCGCACGGGGGAGUAACACGUGAGUAACCUGCCCCCGAGAGCGGGAUAGCCCUGGGAAACUGGGAUUAAUACCGCAUAGUAUCGAAAGAUUAAAGCAGCAAUGCGCUUGGGGAUGGGCUCGCGGCCUAUUAGUUAGUUGGUGAGGUAACGGCUCACCAAGGCGAUGACGGGUAGCCGGUCUGAGAGGAUGUCCGGCCACACUGGAACUGAGACACGGUCCAGACACCUACGGGUGGCAGCAGUCGAGAAUCAUUCACAAUGGGGGAAACCCUGAUGGUGCGACGCCGCGUGGGGGAAUGAAGGUCUUCGGAUUGUAAACCCCUGUCAUGUGGGAGCAAAUUAAAAAGAUAGUACCACAAGAGGAAGAGACGGCUAACUCUGUGCCAGCAGCCGCGGUAAUACAGAGGUCUCAAGCGUUGUUCGGAAUCACUGGGCGUAAAGCGUGCGUAGGCUGUUUCGUAAGUCGUGUGUGAAAGGCGCGGGCUCAACCCGCGGACGGCACAUGAUACUGCGAGACUAGAGUAAUGGAGGGGGAACCGGAAUUCUCGGUGUAGCAGUGAAAUGCGUAGAUAUCGAGAGGAACACUCGUGGCGAAGGCGGGUUCCUGGACAUUAACUGACGCUGAGGCACGAAGGCCAGGGGAGCGAAAGGGAUUAGAUACCCCUGUAGUCCUGGCAGUAAACGGUGCACGCUUGGUGUGCGGGGAAUCGACCCCCUGCGUGCCGGAGCUAACGCGUUAAGCGUGCCGCCUGGGGAGUACGGUCGCAAGAUUAAAACUCAAAGAAAUUGACGGGGACCCGCACAAGCGGUGGAGUAUGUGGCUUAAUUCGAUGCAACGCGAAGAACCUUACCUGGGCUUGACAUGUAAUGAACAACAUGUGAAAGCAUGCGACUCUUCGGAGGCGUUACACAGGUGCUGCAUGGCCGUCGUCAGCUCGUGUCGUGAGAUGUUUGGUUAAGUCCAGCAACGAGCGCAACCCCUGUUGCCAGUUACCAGCACGUGAAGGUGGGGACUCUGGCGAGACUGCCCAGAUCAACUGGGAGGAAGGUGGGGACGACGUCAGGUCAGUAUGGCCCUUAUGCCCAGGGCUGCACACGUACUACAAUGCCCAGUACAGAGGGGGCCGAAGCCGCGAGGCGGAGGAAAUCCUGAAAACUGGGCCCAGUUCGGACUGUAGGCUGCAACCCGCCUACACGAAGCCGGAAUCGCUAGUAAUGGCGCAUCAGCUACGGCGCCGUGAAUACGUUCCCGGGUCUUGUACACACCGCCCGUCACAUCAUGGAAGCCGGUCGCACCCGAAGUAUCUGAAGCCAACCGCAAGGAGGCAGGGUCCUAAGGUGAGACUGGUAACUGGGAUGAAGUCGUAACAAGGUAGCCGUAGGGGAACCUGCGGCUGGAUCACCUCCUUUCUAUGGA
rnacentral:rRNA from 1 species